rnacentral:lncRNA from 1 species
UUCAUUUUUCUAUCUUAUUUUUUUCCCUGAUCUUUCUCCUUUAAGUAAUAUAUAUUGUUUAGGAUAUUAAAAAUGAGCAGAAAACCAUUUUUUCCCCAGAUGUUCCUUAUCUAAGCAAGGCAUAGCUAGCUAGAGGUAAUUUCAAUCCAUUUUGGGGAAAAAGAUUGCCCUCCUUGGCAUGUUUUUAUCCAUAAUACCAUCAGGCUGUAGAUGAAUCCAGGACACAUUUUCUUCAUUGCAUUAUAUGCGAGGGAAACAGAGUCAAAGUCAUCUUAACUUUAUAAUGAAUAGCAUUUUGUCAGAGUGAAUAUCUGGCUCAUGGGAGGUUAAAGGAGAAACAGGACUAAAAUGCUUUAAUAGUCCAGAGACUUGCACAGUGAAAUGAAUUUAUUGCUUUUAGGAGAGUCCCUGGUGGACCGCACAUAAUGAAACUUGCUAUUGGAUAAGGCUGCCUGGGUGAGGAGACGGGCUAGCAGGCAGGAGCAGCAUACUGAAUACAGGGCUGUCAGGAAACCUAAGGUGACCCUCACACCUGCAGCAGAGGUGGCAGGCUUUUCCCCUGCCUGGGUGAACAGAUAUACAGAAUAAAUGUGCCAAAGUUCCUAAGAGGAGGGUGAAGAAGAGUCACAGGCCUAUCAGUGGUGCUGCUUGAGACCAUCUAUUUUCAGAUAUGAAAACAGACCAUGAAGAUAUGAGGUAGACAGGGCAUGAAUGGAAAACCAACAGCCUGGCUGGACUUGGAUUAGCUAGAAAAUGAAUCAUACCAGUUUGCUUUCUGAGGGGAUUAUUUUUUUUUAACAGCCCCAGAUGCCCAGGUGAGAUAUCUGGAUGCUAAAUAAUGAAGUAAAUUAAUUUGGCCUUUCUGACCUCCACCCAGAAGGCUACUCAUUGGUUGGAAGAAAAUAGAGAGGAGGACAAACAACUCUUUGGAAGAGGGGUUAGGUAUGAGAUCAUCCGUAGUACUAAAACCUGGAUACAAAUGCCUGUCACUGAAGAUGAAAAACAAAUGAUGAAUUCAACUAAUU